UACAGAGGUCUCAAGCGUUGUUCGGAUUCAUUGGGCGUAAAGCGCACGUAGGCGGAUUGCUAAGUCAGGGGUGAAAUCCUGGAGCUCAACUCCAGAACUGCCUUUGAUACUGGCGACCUUGAGUCCGGGAGAGGUGAGUGGAACUGCGAGUGUAGAGGUGAAAUUCGUAGAUAUUCGGAAGAACACCAGUGGCGAAGGCGGCUCACUGGCCCGAUACUGACGCUGAGGCACGAAAGCGUGGGGAGCAAACAGG
rnacentral:rRNA from 1 species